rnacentral:snRNA from 1 species
GGGUGAUCUGGCUGUGACACCUGUCGCCCCAUUGACCAUCAAGAUUGAUUGGCUGAUAUGGCUGGGGAGGCAGCUCCGUAUGUGUUCCUCCUGCAGCUGCAUGCUUGGUUGCUGGGUCAAAGAGGAUGGUCUUCCCCCAACAGAGAUGGACUGUUGUUCCAUUGAGGGCAUAUGAUUCAGGUCAGCUUCUGUGAAGAUUAAUUCAAGUUUUGGUGCACAUUUACUGUAACCACAAAAGUUGGUAAAAACAAGCCUUUAUAUUUUGAAGGGCCACACCAGUCAGGGCUCAAGUGUUAGUCCCCAUUC